GACAGAGGUGCCGAGCGUUAGGCGGAAUCACUGGGCUUAAAGCGUGUGUAGGUGGACUCGUAAGUGCUUUGUGAAAUCCCACGGCUCACCCGUGGAACUGCUUGGCAUACUGCGAGCCUUGAGCCACUUAGGGGCAACCGGAACAAACGGUGGAGCGGUGAAAUGCGUAGAUAUCGUUUGGAACGCCAAUGGUGAAAACAGGUUGCUGGGAGUGCGCUGAUGCUGAGACACGAAA
rnacentral:rRNA from 1 species